rnacentral:lncRNA from 1 species
AGUUCACUUGUCAACUCUGGUAGCACAGUCACUGAGUGUCUGUAAUGUGUCUGUUUCCAUCUCUACCAGGGCCAGGAGCAAGUCAUUAACGGCUUCUUAAAUGGAUAGAAGUUGUUCACAGGAAAGAAUAUGAGUUCACUCUGCCACCACCACCUGCUGCCAUGAGCCCAAAGAAGUGGGAGGAGAGAGUUUUCUGGAGCCCAGAAGACAGUUAGCUGCCUCGAAAGGUGAAAGGGCACAGCCAGACUGCAGCAUCCUACAGGGAGGAAUCUAGAGGGUAAGAGACCCUGCUGACCUUGUGCCUACAGGCCAGCCCCCUGCAGCCCAAAGAGGUGGAUGGGGGUAAAGACUUGACCUGGGUGGGCAGAUGAAAGACACCGGUGCAGCCACUUUUCCCCAAAGGGAGUCAGGAGCAGACAGCUUUAGUCCUUCCAGGCCUUGAAGAAGGAGAGGUUUGCCCAGGAGCCGAUCACAGGGGGCACCUCGGGAGAAAGGAGCGACACAAGCAGAUGUGCAGAGACCAGAGUGCGGCAGGACUAGAACCAUCCGUCCAGGUCUGCUUCGAAGGGUCUCUUGGCUUCUCUUCCCACUGCCACAUUCGCAUCCUCGGGUUGUCACAGCGGGUGGAGGACAGAGUGAGCAGGCUAGACUUGUACGGGGUUGAAAACUCUUCCUGAUGGGCCUGUGACCUUGGGAGCCUAAGCCUCCUCACCCGUGAAACGGAGGACAUUUGCACCUGCCUCCCGAGACUGCCGCGAGCCUUGUGUGGGGUGACAGGUGCCCCUGGCGCGGGUAGGGAGAUGCUCAGUAAAUGUCUGUGAGGUCUGGAUUCUGGAAAGCACAGGUCCGGACUGCAAG